CGGGGAGUGGCGCAGCCUGGUAGCGCAUCUGCUUUGGGAGCAGAGGGUCGCUGGUUCAAAUCCAGUCUCCCCGACCA
rnacentral:tRNA from 1 species